CCAGUGGUUAGGUUAUUGGCCUAGGAUUUGGGAGACUGGGGUUUAAUUCUCUGUUCUGCUACAGAUUUUCUGGUGUGAUCUUAGAGAAACUACAAAGCCUAUUAAGAUGCAUUGUGAAUAAUUGAGUCUGACAGUUCACGGCUUUAACAAGCUCACCACUAAGGGAAAAAAGUCUAGAAGCGAGUGGAAGGACAGACCAUGGAUCAUAGUUCAUCCUCUCAUUUGAAAGACACACUGCAAAAACAAAGCCUGCAGGUGUGCAGAGCACCUUUCCUUGUGUAAGGAUGUGGAUGUGGCUGUAGAGACCAAUUGCCGGUCUCCAUUUUGGAAGGCAGGGCUCCAGCCUGCAGGGGGAAGAACAGACAGCAGCAGGCUGCAGCUUACCGCAGGCUCUGGCUUCUGCGGUUUUUGUAA